rnacentral:lncRNA from 1 species
GAAAUGACUGGACGAUGACUAAUUAAACGAGAGACAACAAACCACUUAUCUUCCUUCAUGACUCAAUUGAUCGAGAGCCUUCCCAAGUUGCUUUUGCCGUUUUGUUGGUCACAAUGCAGAUGCUUUGAACCUUUGCACAACCGUGGGCAUGUGGCUCCCGUUAAAUAGCCACAAGAUACCCAUAAAAUUAGCACUUCCAAAGUUCUCAUUUACUCUGUCUUCCUCUCAAGUCUAACCGAAGCCCAACAAACCACCACCUCGGCCAUGGCAACCACCCUCGCCACCGACGUCCGCCUCUCCAUCGCGCACCAGACCCGCUUCGCCCUCCGUCUCGCCUCCACCAUCUCAUCCGCCCUAAGUCUGCUGCCAGCAAUGCCGCCUUCUCCCCGGUCUCCCUCCACUCCGCACUUAGCCUCCUCGACGCUGGCGCGGGCAGUGCCACUCGGGACCAACUCGUCGCCACACUCGGGACAGGCGAGGUCGAGGGACUCCACGCGCUCGCCGAGCAGGUGGUCCAGUUUGUGCUCGCCGACGCGUCCUCUGCUGGAGGUCCGCGUGUCGCCUUUGCCAAUGGCGUCUUCGUGGACGCGUCGCUGCUCCUCAAGCCAUCCUUCCAAGAGAUUGCAGUGUGCAAGUACAAGGCCGAGACCCAAUCCAUGGACUUCCAAACUAAGGUGACCCCCCCCCCCAACUUGGUUCUUACCAGAAAACAAAAACAAUGUAAAAGAAUUUUUAACGGACCUAAUUAUGUACAUUUGAGAGAAACAAUGACAUGCUUAACUAACUACUUCAGCCGCCUGUACAUGUUGGCAUGCCACUGCUUCACUCAGAGAGUUUGUUUUCUGCUGAUGUAAUAUAGAGGUCUAUAUUAAUCUUAUACACAUUCUAGAUUUGUAAUUUAGUGGUUAUCGUAUAUCACUGUUUUUUACACUAGAAGCUUCACCUUUGUAAGCAUAGUUCACACCUGCGACCUUGAACUGUGAAUGAUUUUGCUUAUCCUGUUAGUCAGCAUGAUUGGAGAUAACUAGUCUGUUACUUUUCUGAGCAUACCUAAUCUUUUGGGAGUGUAAUUCUCAUACCGUGCUAUCUAGGGAUAUGAAGGCUGGGGAAUUUGCUGAUGUUUUAUACUUUAAUUACGCUCUUCAGCGAAGUGAGAUUAUAAUUUUGGGAGUAUUUCCUGGAAACUUUGUCUCCAACGUAAGAAGAUGUACAAAAAAUCAGCUAAAGAUUAUAAUUUUGGGAAUAUUUCUGUAAAAGGUAUUGCAUAGUGGUGCUUCGAGAUGUUGUGAUGACCAUUUAAAUUUGUAUGCUCAUAUGAAUUGUUUUUCUAUCAUACGUCGUUGUAUGUGCUGAUUUUACUAUGUGUUUGAAAAUUUUACUAUAGAAAUGCUUUAUAAAAACGCUAGUAUGCUGCUUUGCAUUCUUAGCACAACUAUUAUAUUUUGUUCUUUGAAAGAAUUUUCUAUUGGUUUGUUCAAAGGUUGGUGGCACAGCAGUACCGUCAAACUAUUUUCAUUACAUAACUGACCUUUGUUUAUUUUUUCCAUGGCCCAGGCCGCUGAAGUUACUACUCAAGUGAACUCAUGGGUAGAGAAAGUCACGAGCGGUCGCAUCAAGGACAUUCUCCCCUCAGGAUCUAUUGACAAUACCACUAAACUUGUUCUUGCCAAUGCCCUUUAUUUCAAAGGAGCUUGGACAGAGCAGUUUGAUUCAUAUGGAACAAAAAACGACUACUUCUACCUUCUUGAUGGGAGCUCAGUUCAAACACCAUUCAUGUCCAGCAUGGAUGACCAAUACCUUUUGUCUUCUGAUGGGUUGAAGGUACUUAAGCUUCCUUACAAGCAAGGUGGGGACAAUAGGCAGUUCUCCAUGUAUAUCCUUCUUCCAGAAGCACCGGGUGGUCUCUCAAGCUUGGCCGAAAAAUUGAGUGCUGAACCAGACUUCCUGGAGCGGCAUAUCCCAAGGCAGAGGGUUGCACUUAGGCAAUUCAAGCUCCCCAAGUUCAAGAUAUCAUUUGGAAUUGAAGCAUCCGAUUUGCUCAAAUGUUUGGGCCUCCAGCUUCCAUUCGGCGAUGAAGCGGAUUUUUCGGAGAUGGUGGAUUCCCUAAUGCCACAAGGUCUUCGUGUCUCAUAUGUUUUCCACCAAGCGUUUGUGGAAGUGAACGAACAAGGAACUGAGGCUGCAGCAUCAACUACUAUUAAAAUGGUCCCGCAACAGGCAAGGCCGCCCUCGGUCAUGGAUUUCAUCGCGGAUCACCCUUUCCUCUUCCUUCUCCGGGAAGACAUCUCUGGUGUGGUCCUAUUCAUGGGUCAUGUGGUCAAUCCCCUCUUAUCUUCGUAAUGUGUUUGCUCUGAAAGUGUGUGUUGUCAGUUGCCCUCAGCCAUUACAUGUAAGGGAAGGGUUUCGACGGUCAGUCAUGUUACCGAUACAAUAAAUCCAAUAAAUGGUUCUCCUAAGAUAUCCAAUAAAUUGUCUUUUAAUAACUGCUUGCUUGUUGUGCAAAGGAAAACCAAUUGGACUAUUUUUCAUUAAUCAUUGUGGAUUUGUGGUAGUGCGGAUUUCUCAAAGAACUACUCAUGCCAAAAGAAAAAAUCUAAGUCAUCUUGAUUAGUACUAUCCGACAUGAAUCUCAUCGUCAUUAACAUCUAUAUUUCACAAAAAAAUGCCAAUGGCCACUUUUUGAGAUUGAAUAUGCUCUUCAAUUUCUCUUCUUCUUAGAUUUUUCAUAUCCUCGCUUAUCUUUAGAUACACUAUAACUCCUUGAGAUUGGAGCUCCCAGGGCCGAUUGUGUUGAUCGAUUUACAUGGCCCCACAUGAACGGACGUGACCUUCCACGCUACCCUCUUCCUUGCCGCAGAUCCUUCCUCAGUUUCUCUCCCUUCCGAGAAUCUAUUCCGACAUAGAGACAACGCCUCCAGCACUAUAGUUGGUGCGGCCGACCGCUUUCUGGCUCUCCUCUCCGAUUCCCUGCCUCAGAGCAUCUACAGCCUCAAACACGGUGUGUCUGCGGGCACUGAUCGGUCACUUCACAAAUUGGCAUCUACAUUCGUGUAUUUCAUAUCAGAUCUCCUAUAUCCAUACUAAACUAUGUAGCAUUGAUCAAACUACGUAUAUCAUCAAACGGACAAAAAAUGCACUAUACGUUCAUCAAAAGAUCAUCAACGGAUCUUCGAAAUACCGCCAAAGUUCACAUAGUGCACAUAAAUGACGGACAACUUUAAACUACGUCUAAAAACUGAGCGGAUCUUCAUCACUUCCUCGCCGGAACUUUCCCUUUUCGGUCGCCAGCACAGCUGUAGGCGUCGGCGGCUGGUGGAGGAUCGUCCGAGUCGUCGGACGAGGCGCCGUGGUCGUCACUAUCGUCAGAGGAGGAGCAGAGGAUGAUGAGGCGUUUGAGGCGCCGGACGGCCCGGUCCUGCUGCCGUUUGAGCUCCGCCAGCCGAGCCGCCUCCAAUGCUUUCUCCUCUGCCUCGCGCUCGAACUGCUCGAUGGCAAGCCGGAGCACCUUGGCGUUCUUCCAGCGGAGCUGCCGAUCAUCCGUCUCCGCUGUCGUAAGCGACCGGCAGUAGACCCAAGUGGGGAACCGCUCGUCCCCGUCGAGCUCCGCCGGAAACCCGCGGCGGCGGCGGACAUAUUACUCCUCCGCGUCCCUCUCCCUUGCCCGCUGCCUGCGGUGGCGGGCGUCGGACAGAUUUCUCCGCCGCGUCCCUCUUCCUUGCUCGCUGCCUGUCGUGGCGGGCGGCGCGCGCCUAGCGUGCAUGCCGCGCUCGCUGGGCGGGCACAAGUACCCACCGCUACCCAUGUGGGGGAGCAGCAGCCGACGAGGACAGGGGAUAGUGUGGGGGAGGCGCGGACUGCGCAGCCCUCGUGGCGCUGCGUGUGGGCCGGGAGGGGCCUGCGCCGGCGUCCUCGCUGCGCUGGAAGGGGAGAGGUGAGGCGGCAGAUCCGGAACUGACCUCCGUGUCCACCUUGGACCUCUCGACGGCAAUGCGGAGAGCCAGCACCUCGUCGAUGUUGACGUCAGAGUCGGAGCGGCUGCCGGAACUAGACAUGGUCGCCGGAGUCGUUUGACUGAAUCGAAUCUGGGAAAUCCGAGGAGGAGAAGAGAUGAAACGAGAGCGGAGCGAGGUAGGGUUUUCGAUUGGGGAUAUUUGUGGUGACGGCGUGGGGCCGGUGUGGACCGGGCUACCAUGGCGGACGCACCCGGGGCGCUCGAUAUCCGCCCUAGAUUUGAUCUGAAUAUGAGGGGAGUGAGACAGUCCAAGCAUUUGAGGCUUGUUUGAGGACACGUCUGGAUCAAAUUUUCAUGCUCGGUCAAUGAUCGCGCCAUCCGUCCGGACGUUUGAGACGGAUUUAGAAUGCGCGCCUGUAGAUGCUCUCGGCCUCAAUCUUUCGCCUCCAAACGUUCCCCCGCGACCAACCCAAUCCAGGCCUCGUUCACCGUCUAGCAGUCGUCUGCGCCGCCUCCCGCAAUUCCUCCGACCUCCGGUGCAACACUUCAUGUAACUUCCCUGGAUCAUCGCGCUUCCCGCGCCGUCUCGUCGACAGUCGACGUGCGCUUCUCAUGUUCAAUUUUUCAAGGAUAGUGUCACCGCUUUUUUCUCAUAGUGUUUGGCUGCUCGAUCACCUGGCCGCUGUUAAUCUCAUCUCGGUGAUGCAGCAAACAAAGGAGAGUGCGGGUCUGCAGUUCAAGGUCAGACUGCAGUGCAACUGUGCAAUGUAAGUUUGACUGACACGCUUGGAUCUGCCGCGUCUUUGUGCUGGGUGCUAGUCGCUGCCCUGCUAGAUGCAUGGAAGAGUUGCAUGUAUACACACCGGUGUUGAGCGUUGGUGGCCUCAUUGGUGACUGUCGUGGUUCUAAGUCUGACAAUAGAAUGGGGGGUAAGUAUGGAAAGGCAAGGUCCUAGCUAUGGAGUAGUUGUACACACGGGUGUUUAGCGAGUUUAGACCCUUCUCUGAGGAAGUAACAGCCCUACGUCUCGGAGCCCGGAGGCGGUCGACUGAUCUCUAUGUAUAUGAGUUACAGAAGUGCGAACCUUUCUACCAGUGGAGGGGGGUGGCUUAUAUAGAGGACGCCAGGACCCCAGCCAGCCCACAUAGAGGAGGGUUAAAGUACAUUAAGGCUGGGCGUUACUGGUAACGCCCUAUAUAAAGUGUCAUCAUGACCAUUAAGACUAUUUAAUUACAGACCGUUUGGAUGCAGAGUAGAUCCUGAACUUCCGAUAGUCGAGUGCGUCUUCAUGGUCGAGUGUCUUCUAGCUAGUCGGGUGGAGUCUCCCUUGGUAGAGUGGAGCUUCUUUUGGUCGACCGGAAGGUAGCUUCGUAUGAUAAUGUCCUUUGGCAUGGUAUCCUAGAUAGGUCCAUGACCCUAACCUAGGUACAUAACCUCAUCAUUAGCCCCCGAAUGGAUCGAGGUUCGAGUGAGGAAGGAGUUGACGAUUUUCUCCGACUUAUUUACUGUACUUUGAUUGUGUCGUAUCUUGGAUCGGCGAUUCUUCUUUCGGCGCUGGCGUCGACUUUUACUUCAGUCGCCUUGAUCCAUUCUUAUCUUUUGUCGAGUGAACUUUUGAACUCCGGUGAACUUACGAGCGACGGAUCGCGGGAAGGAUAUCGUCUGACAGAUUGAUCUGCUGUUAGCGGAUUUUGCGGGAUCUGAAAUUUGGGAAGCGCACGAAGCGGGGCAAUCCGCGGCAAUCGGGCGGGAUAAGGCAUGGACGCCUUGAUUUCCGCGUCGCCUUUUUCGCCACGUAUCGUACGUGUGCGACUGUUUCGGGAUGUGACAGAUCUGCUCGGACCCACUCGUCAGCCACUCGGAAGCGCCCUUAUAUAAAGCGUCGGGGAAGAGUUUUUGAACAGUGCCUCCCCAUUCUCCUCUCUUCCCUCUCUGCCUCCGCCCACGGCGCCUGCUCCUAGCUCCGCCUUAUCCACCUCUCGAGCGCUUCGCCGACGAUAAUGGUGAAGGAGAAGACGGCGGUUCUAGAGCGCGCGAAGAAGGUGACGGCGACGGGGCAAGCGAAGGGGAGACCGUCCAGUCGGGGCGGAUCUUCGUCGAGGUCCCGCCUGCCGAAGGGUUGGGUCCAAGGGGAUUGGAUCCGCUCGACCAUCACUGGGAAGGACCUCGACGACCUGGCCAAUGAGGGACUGAUCCCCCACGGGUCAGCAAGGCCCCCGGGGUCCGAGUGUCAACCGCAGCCGCAGGAGGGUGAGCGCGUUCUCUUAGCCACUCACGUAGAUCGUGGUUUUUCUCUGCCGCCGAGUGUGUUCUUCCGUGGGUUUCUGAAAUUCUUUGGGGCGCAACUCCACCAUUUCAAUCCCAAUUCCAUCGCCUAUCUUGCUGCCUUUGUGUCCAUGUGCGAGAACUUCCUGGGUUGUCGACCGCACUGGGGUCUCUUCAAGCACAUAUUCACCUGUCGGUCGCAGACCGUAAAAAAGGCGAGCUCGGGUGAUGAGAGGACCAAGGUUAUUCAGAUGUGCGGGGGUCUUGGGAUUCAGUUGAGGAAUAAGAGCACUUUCCCGGCCAUGACCCUUCCUGAGUCGGUCAGAGGGUGGCAGUCGACUUGAUUCUACUGCCAAGACGAGUCGACGCCGGGGCAGUCGACUGGUCUCCCUCCGUUCUCCAUGGACCGAGUGGUCAAACCGUCUUCUCUGAAGGUGCUUCCUGAGGAGAAAGCCGAGGUAAAAAUGUUGGUGGAGCGCAUGGUCCAACUCGUUCGGGACGGAGUGACGGGCAUGGAUCUUCUGAAAGUAUUCCUUAGGCGGCGCAUCCAACCGCUCCAGUAUCGAGGCCACCCGAUGUGGUUGUACUGCGGUACCGAAGACACCACUCGGGUCCAUCCAGAGGCAGUCGACGACGCCACGCUGGAGAGGUGGGUGACCUCCAUCACAGGGAACAAGGACAACCGUCGAGGAGUGAGGAGGAUCCCGCCACUCGACUGUACCUAUACGCCGGACAAGGUAUGGCCGCUUAUCUCCGAGUGUAAUUUUGUUUUAUCCAUUCUGCUUUGCCACAAAUUGGUCGAUUGAUCUUUGUUUUGCUCUGUUGUCUGAUAGGCCACCACUGAAUUGUACUCGAUUCCCAAUGGGGCGCAGACGCCGACUGAGGAGGAGGAAGGAAGCGGGGGCGAAAGCCCGGAGGAGUGGGAUUCAGAUGUCGACGACGACGAUGAGGGUGAUGACUCUAGUGAGGAGGAAGAAGAGGAGGAAGAGGAGGAAGUUGCACCUCCCCGCUCGGAAAGACGCUCGAAGCUUGCCCAUGAUCCAGCGACUGAGCGGGGUAAGGGGGUCGCAACCGCUUCUCAGUCGACCAAGCGCCCUCGGACCACUUCUCCGGCGCCGACUGAGAAGGCUCCGAAGCAAUCUCGAGUGGCACCGUCGAAGCCUGCAAAGGUCUUGCCGAAGAUGAAGAUGGUGAUCCCCACUAUCUCAGGGUAAUGGUAGUUUUGAGCUUUCCCUGUUUCAUGAACUUGUUCUUGGUCGACUCAUGGUCCAAUCGACUGACUUUUGGAACUGCAGCGUUGCUACUUCCGACACUUCGGCGAGAGCCGAAGACCACGAGAUGGAGGAUGCUGCAACCUCGAACCCUGGUAUGACUCCUGCGUUGCCGUUUUCAGUCGACUGACUCAUUGUCUCUAAUUUUUAUUCUUUCUGCAGUUUCAUCUAACAUUGUUAUUGACCUUCCUGACGACGACGAUGAAUAACCACCACGGCCGAGGAAAAGCAAGAAAACGUCGGCUGGCAAGGCGACUCAGGAUGUGCCGGCACCCGAGACGUUAGUCGUGGAGGGAGACAAUGUCACUCGACCCACCGUAACCUUCGCGGUGCCGUUGAUGAGUGCUCGCCCUUCAUCGUCGAGUGCUGCUCAACCCUCGCUUUUCUCCACCUACCCCGUUCCAGAAGACCAAGCCAGUGCUGCCAAAGAAGCGAUACGCCAGGCGGGGGUCAUGAUGGAGCAAGUGAAGGCAAUUCGAGAAGCCAGCCAGGCAGCCUAUGACGCCAGUUCGGCACUCCAGAGUAAUGUUCAGGUCAGUCGGUCACUGCCUGUUCUUCUUUCUGAAAUUCCUAGAGUCUGUCCUACACCCAGUGGGUGUGUGUCGAUUAAAAUUCCGGGUUAGUGGGGGCACGCUGAGUGCACCCACUGGGUGUAGUCCCCAAGGCUAUGGUGGACUGCUGGCAGUCGACCAUAGUCUUAAUGCUUUGAGUUUUUCUUUACUCGACAAGGUCGAAUAGAUUCAUAGACCGGUGGGGGCACGCUGAGUGCACCCACUGGGUGUAGUCCCCGAGACUGUGGUCGACUGCUGGCAGUUGACUAUAGUCUAAAGAACAUUGCCUCUCUUUUUUUUGUUGGUCGACUAGUCGACUCUUGAUGAAACUAGUGGGGGCACGCUGAGUGCACCCACUGGGUGUAGUCCCCGAGACUAUGGUCGAAUGUUUGCAUUCGACCGUAGUCUUAGAAACGCUAUGAUUUUUCCUUACUCACUCGGAAGUGAAUUUUCUUUGACGUCUGUCGAUUGAUUCUUCGUAGAAAUCAUGUGACCUUGUGGCUCGUUAUACUGAGUUGGAGAACAAACACAUUCAGCUCGAGCUCGAUCUGAAACUGGCCCAAGAGACCUUGACGAAGGCGAAGGAGGAAGCUAAAGGUAUGCUUGGUGAGGCCUUUGACGACUGCCUUUGCCUCUCACUUGUUUCCGAAUCUGAUCUCACUGUAACUUUGUAGGCAAAGUGAUGGACGCCCUGAAGAAACAAGAGCUUGACUUGGCUGAGAUGCAAAAGACUGCUUUAGAGAAGACCAGGCUAGCGGAUGAGAAGCUGGCUUCAGUGACUAAGCUUGAAGAAGAAAACACCAAUCUGAAAGCUGCUCUUGAUGCUGCCAACCAGGAGGUCACUUAACUGAAAAGCGACAAGACCACCCUGAAUGACAAGGCCAGUGAGUUGAAGAGAAAGAAGAAUGAUCUAGAGGCUUAUCUGGGUGGACUCGCCAAGAAGUUGUUCCUCAUGCUUGAAGGUAAUCCUUUGUAUCGAACAAAUAUUUUAAUUGUAACCUCUGACUGUUUGUCUUGACUCGGUGGUUGUGCUUGCAGAAUUUUGUCAGAACUUUGAAGAGGAGACUGGUCGACUGGAAGUGAACCUGGACCCCAUCAACUCUCCUGUGAAAGAUGAAGUUGCCAUGAACAUGCUCCGACUUGAAUCUCGUGUUGCUGCUAUCAUCGAUUAUCUCGCAAGGCUGAAGGUCGCAACUUCCUGCAUCGACACAACACUCUGGCCAAGAGAGACACUCCAGAACGACCUCGAGUCUCUGAUGACUCGACUGAACGAGGUCCCAAGUCGAGUGCAGGAGUGGAAGAAGUCUUCGGCCAGGUGUGGCGCGGAUGUUGCUCUAUCUCUGGUCCGCGUUCACUGCAAGGAUGCAUGAGAGGACAAGCUGGUGGCUCUCAGGGUGGCCAACACCAAGAAGCACGAUUUCAGAUCCUUCAUGGAGACCUUCAUUGCCGCUGCCACUCGGAUUGCAGAUGGAAUCGAUCUGGACGAGUUUGUGGCACCUUCCAGCCCUCCACAGGAGGGGUAAAAAACUUUUGAGCUUGAUACUUUAAAUUUGCCUCGGUAUGCCGAGUGAGUUUUGUAACCGACAAACCUUAACAGGCCUAGCGCCUGAGCACUUUCGGUUCCGCUAGGUGUUAUCCAAACUUGGGUUCGUCGCUGAAUAUGUUUGCAUUUGGUUUGAGGCGUCUUUUGCAGGUUAAAGCGAAGCGCUUAUUGCCAUCGACUUGUCCCCCAAUUCACUUAGGCGGGCACUGGGCUGCAGCUAAGUCCCCGAGCGAGAGGUUUUCCCUCCACUCGGUAGGAUUUCAGACACUUAGGCGAGCACUGGGCCGCAGCUAAGCCCCCGAGUGGGAGGUCUGCUCUCCACUCGGUAGGAUUUCAGAAACUUAGGCGAGCACUGGGCUGCAGCUAAGCCCCCGAGUGGGAGGUCUGCUCUCCACUCAGUAGGAUUUCAAACACUUAGGCGAGCACUGGGCUGCAGCUAAGCCCCCGAGUGGGAGGUCUGCUCUCCACUCGGUAGGAUUUCAGACACUUAGGCGAGCACUGGGCUGCAGCUAAGCCCCCGAGUGGGAGGUCUACUCUCCACUCGGUAGGAUUUCAGACNNNNNNNNNNNNNNNNNNNNNNNNNNNNNNNNNNNNNNNNNNNNNNNNNNNNNNNNNNNNNNNNNNNNNNNNNNNNNNNNNNNNNNNNNNNNNNNNNNNNNNNNNNNNNNNNNNNNNNNNNNNNNNNNNNNNNNNNNNNNNNNNNNNNNNNNNNNNNNNNNNNNNNNNNNNNNNNNNNNNNNNNNNNNNNNNNNNNNNNNNNNNNNNNNNNNNNNNNNNNNNNNNNNNNNNNNNNNNNNNNNNNNNNNNNNNNNNNNNNNNNNNNNNNNNNNNNNNNNNNNNNNNNNNNNNNNNNNNNNNNNNNNNNNNNNNNNNNNNNNNNNNNNNNNNNNNNNNNNNNNNNNNNNNNNNNNNNNNNNNNNNNNNNNNNNNNNNNNNNNNNNNNNNNNNNNNNNNNNNNUAAGCCCCCGAGUGGGAGGUCUGCUCUCCACUCGGUAGGAUUUCAGACACUUAGGCGAGCACUGGGCUGCAGCUAAGCCCCCGAGUGGGAGGUCUGCUCUCCACUCGGUAGGAUUUCAGAAACUUAGGCGAGCACUGGGCUGCAGCUAAGCCCCCGAGUGGGAGGUCUGCUCUCCACUCGGUAGGAUUUCAAACACUUAGGCGAGCACUGGGCUGCAGCUAAGCCCCCGAGUGGGAGGUCUGCUCUCCACUCGGUAGGAUUUUUGAAUUGGUGGCGCAACUCGGAAGGAGAGGGUAGCAGUCGACCUGCACCUCGUCCUCCUUGCGGAACGCAUGUUGUACUUGUACUUAGGCGAGUUCUUGGACUGCAGCUAGGCCUCCGAGUGGAAGGCUGGCUUACCACUCGGUAGGAUUUUAUUUAUCUUAGGCGAGUACUUGGACUGCAGCUAAGCCUCCGAGUGGAAGGCUGGCUUACCACUCGGUAGGAUUUUAUUUAUCUUAGGCGAGUACUUGGACUGCAGCUAAGCCUCCGAGUGGAAGGCUGGCUUACCACUCGGUAGGAUUUUAUUUAUCUUAGGCGAGUACUUGGACUGCAGCUAAGCCUCCGAGUGGAAGGCUGGCUUACCACUCAGUAGGAUUUUAUUUAUCUUAGGCGAAACGGAUUUUACAGCUAAGCCUUCGUGUGGGAGACUGACUCACCACUCGGUUAGGAUUUGUUUUUACAGACUUAGGCGAAUCGGAUUCGCAGCUAAGCCACCCACUGGGGGAUUGUUUUAUAUGGACAAAAGUAAUAACAAUCACUGGGAAAACUAUAAAGCUCUUGUCUUUGAUAAAUAAACUACAGGAGUACUUUUAUUACAACUCAUCCGAGUGAAUACCUAAGUGUAAAAGGGGCGGAGAAGCUCCGCGUUCCAAGCUCGGGGCUCGUCAAUCUGAUGCUUGACAUUGUAAAGACGGUAUGCUCCAUUGUGGAGAACCUUGGUGACCAUGAAGGGACCUUCCCAAGAAGGAGCAAGCUUGUGUGGUUUCUGCUGGUCCACUCGGAGAACUAAAUCUCCUUCCUGGAAGGCUCGACUCUUCAUGUUUUUGGCGUGGAAGCGACGCAAGUCUUGUUGAUAAAUGGUCGAUCUGAUCAGAGCCAUCUCUCUUUCUUCCUCUAAAAGGUCGACUGCGUCCUGCCGCGCUUGUUCUGCUUCAGCUUCGGUGUAGAGCUCGACUCGGGGAGCGUUGUGGAGAAGAUCACUCGGCAAGACUGCUUCAGCUCCGUAGACCAAGAAGAAUGGAGUUCUUCCAGUCGACCGGUUGGGUGUGGUCCUUAACCCCCAAAGCACCGAGGGAAGUUCGUCAACCCAUGCACCAGCCGCAUGCUUGAGAUCACGCAUCAAACGGGGCUUCAACCCUUUGAGAAUUAAACCGUUGGCUCAUUCUGCCUGUCCAUUCGUCUGCGGAUGGGCAACUGAAGCAUAGUCGACUCGCGUGCCUUGAGACGUGCAGAAAGCUCUGAAUUCUUCAGAAUCGAAGUUUGACCCGUUAUCAGUGAUGAUGUUGUGCGGGACUCCAUAUCUAAAUAUCAGUUCUCGGAUGAAGCUGACAGCGGUACCAGCAUCGAGGUUCUUGAUGGGUUUGGCCUUAAUCCACUUGGUAAACUUGUCGACUGCUACCAGCACAUGUGUGAAACCGCUUCUUCCUGUUCUCAAUGGGCCAACCAUAUCCAAACCCCAUACAACAAAGGGCCAGACAAGUGGUAUGGUCUUUAAGGCUGAGGCAGGCUUGUGUGACAUAUUGGAGUAAAAUUGACAUCCCUCACACUUGUCGACUAUCUCCUUCGCCAUUUCAUUCGCUCUGGGCCAAUAAAAACCAGCUCGGUAUGCUUUGGCCACGAUGGUCCGAGAAGACGCAUGAUGGCCACAGGUCCCCGAGUGGAUGUCAUUGAGAAUCAUUCGACCUUCCUCCGGUGUUAUGCAUUUCUGGCUGACUCCAGUCGCACUUUCUCUGUACAACUGACCUCUCAUGACGGUGAAGGCUUUGGACCGGCGGACGAUCUCUCGAGCUUCUUCUUCAUUCUCGGGGAGUUCCUUCCUCAAAAUAUAGGCGAUGUAGGGCACUGUCCAAUCGGGAGUGAUGACCAAAACUUCCAUGAUCAAGUCGACCACCGCUGGGACCUCGACUUCAGUCGGAUCUGUGGCGCUUUUAGGCUGCGGGGCUUCUGCAGUGAAAGGAUCCUCUUGAACCGAUGGCGUGUAGACAUGUUCCAAAAACACGCCACUCGGAAUGGCUUCCCUCUUGGAACCUAUCUUUGCCAAGUCAUCGGCUGCUUGAUUUUUCAGUCGGGGAACGUGAUGGAGUUCUAACCCUUCGAAUUUCUUUUCAAGCUUCCUCACUGCAUUGCAGUAUCUAGUCAUGGAUGGGCUUCUCACGUCCCACUCCUUCAUCACCUGAUUGACCACCAAAUCUGAGUCGCCGUAAACCAUAAGGCGACGGACGCUGAGUGAAAUGUCCAUGCGCAACCCAUACAACAGUGCUUCAUAUUCUGCUUCAUUGUUGGAGGAAUCAAAGUGGAUCUGGAGCACAUAUCUGAGCUUAUCUCCUCGGGGAGAAACCAAAACUACCCCAGCACCAGAACCAUUUAACAUCUUAGAGCCAUCAAAGAACAUGGUCCAAUGCUCCGAGUGAACUUGAGUCGGCUGCUGCUGUUCAAUCCACUCGGCAAGGAAAUCUGCUAUAGCCUGGGACUUAAUGGCUUUCUUUGCCUCGAAUUUGAUAUCAAGGGGAAGGAGUUCAAUCGCCCAUUUAGCCACUCGACCAGUUGCAUCUCUGUUGUGCAGAAUCUCCGACAAUGGUGCGUCGCUGACGACUAUAAUGUCAUGAUCAGAGAAAUAAUGAGCAACCUUCUUCAUGGUCAUGUAGAUCCCAUAUACGAGCUUCUGAUAAUGAGGAUAUCUUUGCUUCGAUCGGGUCAAAACUUUAGAGAGAUAAUACACUGGGCGCUGAACUUUGAAGGCUUUCCCUUCUACUUCCCGCUCGACCGUAAGUAUUGUACUGACGACUUGUCCUGUGGCUGCAAUAUAAAGCAACAGUGGCUCUUUACUGAUUGGAGCGGCAAGCACCGGCUAGGUGGAGAGCAGAGUUUUUAACUCGGCAAACGCUGCAUCAGCUUUUGGAGUCCACUCGAACUUGUCUGCCUUCUUCAUCAGUCGGUAAAGGGGCAACGCCUUUUCACCGAGGCGAGAGAUGAAUCGACUUAACGCGGCCAGGCAUCCAGUAAGCUUCUGGACAUCGUGCACACGCACAGGGCGUUUCAUUCGGAGUAUGGUGCCAACUUUUUCUGGGUUAGCAUCGAUUCCUCGUUCCGAAACGAGAAAACCGAGUAACUUCCCACCAGGUACUCCGAAUGUGCACUUUGAAGGAUUGAGCUUGAUAUCAUACCUCCUGAGAUUGGCAAAUGUUUCAGCUAAGUUAGUCAACAGGUCGGAACCCUUUCGCGACUUGACCACGAUAUCAUCCAUGUAUGCUUCCACAUUCCAACUAAUUUGAGUGAGUAAACACUUUUGAAUCAUUCUCAUGAAUGUGGCUCCGGCAUUCUUGAGGCCGAAAGGCAUGGUGAUAUAGCAGAAGCACCCGAAUGGGGUGAUGAAAGCUGUUUUGAUUUCAUCGGGCCCAUACAGACGGAUCUGAUGAUACCCGGAAUAAGCGUCCAGAAAAGACAAUCUCUCGCACCCUGCGGUCGAGUCGACAAUUUGGUCGACGCGAGGGAGAGGAAAAUGAUCUUUCGGGUAGGCCUGAUUGAUAUGUUUGAAAUCAAUGCACAUACGAAGGGAAUUGUCCUUUUUGCGAACCAUAACGACAUUGGCGAGCCACUCGGAGUGGUAUAUCUCUCGGAUGAACUCUGCUGCAAGGAGUCGAGCCACCUCUUCGCCAAUGGCUUUUUUGUUCUGAACAGCGGACCGUCGAAGAUGUUCUUUAACGAGUUUUGCCUUUGAAUCGACUCUAAGGCGAUGCUCAGCCAGUCCCCUGGGAACACCUGGCAUGUCAGCUGGCUUCCAUGCGAAGAUGUCCCAGUUCUCACGGAGGAACUGGAUGAGCGCUUCUUCCUAUUUAGAGUCGGGUGUAGUGGAAAUAUGGGUCGGAGCUGCAUUGGGGUCAGUCGGGUGGAUGUGAACUGGCUUCGUCUCACCGGACGACUGAAAUGCUGACUCUGUGGCGGGCUUCUUGGCUCGCAGUAAAUCACUCGGAUCUGCGUUCUUCUUGUACCCCUCUAGCUCUAUCACUGUUAUCUGGUCAUCCGCAAUCUUUGAGCCUUUCUGGAAACACUCUUCUGCUUUCUUCCGGUUACCAGUGACGGUGAUCACGCCUUUGGGGCCAGGCAUCUUUAACUUGAGGUACACGUAACAUGGUCGAUCCAUGAAGCGGGCGUAGGCUGGUCUUCCCAAGAUAGUGUGGUAGGCGCUCUGGAAAUCCACGAUUUCAAAUGUCAGCUUCUCUUUGCGGAAAUGCUUCGAGUCACCGAACACCACAUCCAGAGCUAUUUGGCCGAGUGACUCAGCCUUCUUUCCUGGGAUGACUCCGUGAAAACUCAUGUUGCUGGAACUGAGCCUGGACAUCGGAAUGCCCAUUCCCUUGAGCGUCUCUGCAUAUAGUAUGUUCAACCCGCUGCCGCCAUUCAUCAAUACCUUCGUCAGUCGAGUGCCUUCGACGACCGGGUCGGCCACCAGUGCUUGCCUCCCAGGGGUGGCAAUAUGAGUAGGAUGGUCCGACUGGUCGAAAGUAAUGGGAGUUUGCGACCAUCUCAGAUAGUUUGGUGUUGCUGGUGCGACCAUAUUGACUUCACGGUUGAUCACUUUCAGUCGACUUUUGCUCUCUACAUCAGCAAAAAUCAUCAGAGUGAAGUUGACAUGAGGGUACUCACCAUCACUGUCCUGCUUGUCCUCAGCCUUGUCUGACUCCUUCUCUUUGUCCUUCAGCUGUUUCCCUUGGAACUGCUGGAUUAAGAGCCGGCACUGGCGAGUGGUAUGCUUUGGGUAGAUGAAGUUACCCUCUUCGUCUUUCUUCGUGUGGAUAUGACACGGCAGGUCCAUCACAUCAUUACCCUCCUUAUCUUUUACCUUCUUGGGGUUCCAAGAUCCUUUGGGCUUCCCUUUAAAUUUGCCCUGUGUCACGGCUAGAGCCUCUCCAGGAGCUGCUGGCUCGGCCUUCCGCUUCUGCUUCCGACUGGAGUUUCCUUUAUCCGACUAACUCGGCUUGUACUUGCCGCUCCGGAGUCGGUCCUCUUCUUCGCCGUUGGCGUACUUGGUGGCUAUUUCCAUCAUCCGACUCAGGGUCAUGUCUCCAGUUCGACCAAACUUCAGGCUCAACUCUUUGUUCUUGACGCCAUCUUUGAAGGCGCAAACCGCUUGAUGGUCCGACACAUUCUCUACAGUGUGAUGCAAAGUGAUCCACCUCUGGAUGUAAUCCCUCAGUGUUUCACUCGACUUUUGUACACAAACUUGUAGCUCAGUUAAUCCAGCAGGUCGCUUGCAAGUUCCCUCAAACGUCCUGACGAACACUCGAGAAAGAUCUACCCAGGUGUAAAUGUUGCUGGGAGCUAACUGAUUCAACCAUGCCCUGGCUGAACCUCCUAGAAUAAGUGGCAAAUGUUUCAUGGCCACCUCAUCAUUACCGCCACCAAUCUGAACAGCCACUCGGUAGUCUUCGAGCCAAGUUUCAGGCUUAGACUCUCCGGUGAACUUAUUCACCCCAUUCGCCAACCUGAAGUUGGGGGGUAUCACUGCGGUUCUGAUCGCUCUGCGAAAACAUUCUGGACCUGAAACAUGGACUCGGCUGCUUGUGGGCACAUCUCUGUCAUGACCACCUCUAUGAGCUCUGUUUCAGUCGACCAAACCUUGCACGAUGAUGGAUCUCGCGUCAAAGCCUGGCUCUCUGGGGUCGACUGGAGCUCUCUGCCCAACACUGAGCUGGCUUCUAUCAUCUUGCUGCCGAUGGGCGUUAGACCCACUUCUCGGAGGAGGAGUGGGCACUCGACGCCUGUCAUCACGAUCAAAUCGAUCAUCAUAGUGGUCCCGCCGGCCUUCACGUCCCACGCGCCUCGGAGGCGACCUUGGACUGUCAGCUGACUGAAUAGUAUUCGCAGCAACAGAUCGACUGUGAAUCCUGUUAGGUGACUGUGACACAGCUGAAUUCUGAUCUCCUGCUGCCCGGAGCAAAUCUCUGAUCUGCAUCAAGCCUCUUCCAGCCUCUGACUGAGAGGGCUGAAUUGACUCUGCUAUGCGGGCUGCAGCUGCCAAAUUCUGAAUUGGGGUUCGAUAUACCUGAGUUGGUUGCGGAAAGAGCUGACGUCGAUUGGAGUUAGUCGCUCGUUGACGCGCAUGCUCGUCGAGUGCUCGCUGAAGGUUCUCCAGUCGAGUGUGUUCAGCCAGGUUGGCUAAACGCGCCUCUUCCAGGGCACGAGCCUCAGGAGUUUCUCCUGCAAUGGGAGUAUGCAGGGCAUCCAUGUUCUGGCGGCGAAGUUCUUCCCUCUGCUGGGAAGUGAGCGGCUCGGGUUGGUACUCUUCAUGGGCUUGAGCAGGGUCAUCCUCGUCGUCCAUCCCGUCGCCACGGGGGAAACCGGGAGGACUACGGGGCCCAUUGACCAUCAGGACCUCCGCCGUCGGAUCACUGCUAUCGCACUCGGAUGCAGCCUCUACAGAGCCAGUCGACAGGUCGAAUAGGCCGUAGAGAGAUCCGUCAGGCUCAAUCGCCGCGACUUGGGUGGUGGCCGAUUGGCGAGCCACUGCGUGUCUCACCCAUCGCUGGAGCCUCAACCGACCGGAGCGCUUGCGCUGGCGGGAGACAGGGAGGGAGGACGGCGCAGGAGUCGACCGGUAUGGGGUCGACGGCUGCCGCAGCAAGACGCUGCGGACACACACCCGAAAGUGCAUCGCCCCGCGGACGGGGAGCGCUCCGAUGUCGAGUGGUGCCUCCUGGAGCCAAGCGGAGUCGUCGGCGAUGAAAGUGAGCGCACCGAGACGGAUCUCGUGGCCCUCGACCAGAGCUCUGCCAGAAACCAUGAUGAAGGCGAUCGGACAAAUUGCAACUUCUCCAAAAAAGUCGCUAAGACACCUGCCCCACGGUGGGCGCCAACUGUCGUGGUUCUAAGUCUGACAGUAGAAUGGGGGGUAAGUAUGGAAAGGCAAGGUCCUAGCUAUGGAGUAGUUGUACACACGGGUGUUUAGCGAGUUCAGGCCCUUCUCUGAGGAAGUAACAGCCCUACGUCUCGGAGCCCGGAGGCGGUCGACUGAUCUCUGUGUAUAUGAGUUACAGGGGUGCGAAACUUUCUACCAGUGGAGGGGGGUGGCUUAUAUAGAGGACGCCAGGACCCCAGCCAGCCCACGUAGGGGGGGUAAAAGUACAUUAAGGCUGGGCGUUAUUGGUAACGCCCUACAUAAAGUGUCAUCAUGACCAUUAAGACUAUUUAAUUACAAACCGUUUGGAUGCAGAGUAGAUCCUGAACUUCCGAUAGUCGAGUGCGUCUUCAUGGUCGAGUGUCUUCUAGCCGGUCGAGUGGAGUCUCCCUUGGUCGAGUGGAGCUUCUUUUGGUCGACUGGAAGGUAGCUUCAUAUGAUAAUGUCCUUGGGCAUGGUAUCCUAGAUAGGUCCAUGACCCUACCCUAGGUACAUAACCUCAUCAGUGACCCCGUGGACGAAAAAGGUCUGAACAUUUUUCUGAUUUGCACACACCCUGUCGAUCCUGGACACACCAGAAAAGGCCAAUCUUUUUUAUUUAGCUGCCUAUGUUUUUACACAAAACUAUGAAGAACAUAGAGGGCAGCUUUGGGUCACGGAAAAAACUUAUACUGUGUGCAAAAGAAAUCAUGAUUUCAGCAGCACUGAAUAUGUACAGCAAAGGUCGAAACAAUUUAUCAAAAAAUGUGUCUGUGUUUCAUUCUUCCGCAAUACAAUAAGAAGUCCACCACUAAAGCUUUUUCCUCCUCCACAAGUAAAGUCCCUUAUCCUCCGGUCGGCGUCGCCGUCGGUCCGCCCCAUCUCUGAUGGCCUCUGGGCCAUGGAGUCGCCGAGGAUCCCAGCCCUUGUUCUCCUCCUUGUUAGAUUUAGCGUCUUGGUUGGGGUUGGGUGGAGGCGGCGAUGUCCCUUAAUAGGAAUAAUGUAUGAUUGGUUAUCUUUGUAAGUAUCUUCGAGUUAUCAGUUUGGUUUGGCCUACUAGAUUUAUCUUUCUUGCAAUGUUAGAAGUGCUUAGCUUUGGGUUCAAUCUUGCGGUGUCCUUUCCCAGUGACAGCAGGGGCAGCAAGGCACGUAUUGUAUUGUUGUCAUCGAGGAUAAAAAGAUGGGGUUUAUAUCAUAUUGCUUGAGUUUAUCCCUCUACAUCAUGUCAUCUUGCCUAAUGUGUUACUUUGUUCUUAUGAAUUUAAUACUCUAUAUGCAAGCUGGAUAGCGGUCAAUGUGUGGAGUAAUAGUAGUAAAUGCAGGCACGAGUCGGUCUACUUGUCGUGGACGUGAUGCCUUGAUACGUCUCCAACGUAUCUAUAAUUUUUUAUUGUUCCAUGCUAUUAUAUUACCCGUUUUGGAUGUUUAUGGACUUUACUUUACACUUUUAUAUUAUUUUUGGGACUAACCUACUAACCGGAGACCCAACCCGUAUUGCUGUUUUUUUUGCCUAUUUCAGUGUUUUGAAGAAAAGGAAUAUCAAACAGAGUCCAAACGGAAUGAAACCUUCAGGAGCGUGAGUUUUGGAACAAACGUGAUCCAAGGGACUUGGAGUGCAAGUCAAGAAGCAAUCGAGGCGGCCACCAGGGUGGAGGGCGCCCCCUAUCUCGUGGGCCCCUCGGGCGUCCACCGACCUACUUCUUCCUCCUAUAUAUACCCACGUACCACGAGAACAUCAAAGGCGACCACGAAAAACUAUUUCCACCACCGUAACCUUCUGUAUUCACGAGAUCCCAUCUUGGAGCCUUCGUCAUUGCUCCAUCGGAGAGGGAAUCAACCAUGGAGGGCUUCUACAUCAACACCAUAGCCUCUCCAAUUAGUUGUGAGUAGUUUACCACAGACCUUCGGGUCCAUAGUUAUUAGCUAGAUGGCUUCUUCUCUCUCUUUGAAUCUCAAUAUCAUGUUCUCCUCGAUCUUCUUGGAGAUCUAUACGGUGUAACUCUUUUUGCGAUGUGUUUGUCUCGAUCCGAUGAAUUGUGGGUUUAUGAUCAAGUUUAUCUAUGAGAAAUAUUUGAAUCUCCUCUGAAUUCUUUUAUGUGUGAUUAAGUUAUCUUUGCAAGUCUCUUCAAAUUAUCAGUUUGGUUUGGCCUACUAGAUUGAUCUUUCUUGCAAUGGGAGAAGUUCUUAGCUUUGGGUUCAAUCUUGCGGUGUCCUUUCCCAGUGACAGCAGGGGCAGCAAGGCAUGUAUUGUAUUGUUGUCAUCGAGGAUAAAAAGAUGGGGUUCAUAUCAUAUUGCAUGAGUUUAUCCCUCUACAUCAUGUCAUCUUUCUUAAUGCGUUACUCUGUUAUUUAUGAACUUAAUACUCUAGAUGCAUGCUGGAUAGCGGUCGAUGUGUGGAGUAAUAGUAGUAGAUGCAGGCAGGAGUCGGUCUACUUGUUAUGGACGUGAUGCCUAUAUACAUGAUCAUGCCUAGAUAAUCUCAUAAUUAUUUGCUUUUCUAUCAAUUGCUCGACAGUAAUUUGUUCACCCACCGUAAUACUUAUGCUAUCUUGAGAGAAGCCACUAGUGAAACCUAUGGCCCCCGGGUCUAUCUUUUAUCAUAUAAGCUUUCAAUCUACUUUUAUUUGCAUCUUUACUUUUCCAAUCUAUAUUAUAAAAUACCAAAAAUAUAUUUAUCUUAUCAUACUAUCUCUAUCAGAUCUCACUUUCGUAAGUGGCCGUGAAGGGAUUGACAACCCCGUUAUUGCGUUGGUUGCGAGUUCUUGUUUGUUUGUGUAGGUGCGUCGGACUUUUGAGGAGCCUCCUACUGGAUUGAUACCUUGGUUCUCAAAAACUGAGGGAAAUACUUACGCUACUAUUGUUGCAUCACCCUUUCCUCUUCAAAGAAAACCAACGCAAGCUCAAGACGUAGCAUGCCUAUAUACAUGAUCAUGCCUAGAUAUUCUCAUAACUAUGCACUUUUCUAUCAACUGCUCGACAGUAAUUUGUUCACCCGCCGUAAUAUUUAUGCUAUCUUGAGAGAAGCCACUAGUGAAACCUAUGGCCCCGGGUCUAUUUUCCAUCAUAUAAGUUUCCGAUCUACUUUAUUUAGCAAUCUUUACUUUUCAAUCUAUAUCAUAAAAAUACCAAAAAUAUUUAUCUUAUUAUUAUCUCUAUCAUAUCUCACUUUCGCAAGUGGCCGUGAAAAGAUUGACAACCCCUUUAUCGCGUUGGUUGCGAGGUUCUUGUUUGUUUAUGUAGGUACGAGGGACUUGCGUGUAGCCUCCUACUGGAUUGAUACCUUGGUUUUCAAAAGUUGAGGGAAAUACUUACGCUACUUUGCUGCAUCACCCUUUCCCGCUUCAAGGGAAAACCAACGCAGUGCUCAAGAGGUAGCAAGAAGGAUUUCUGGCGCCGUUGCCGGGGAGGUCUACGCACAAGUCAAGACAUACCAAGUACCCAUCACAAACUCUUCUCCUCGCAUUACAUUAUUUUCCAUUUGCCUCUUGUUUUCCUUUCCCCCACUUCACCCUUGCCGUUUUAUUCGCGCUCCCUUUCCCGUUCGCCUCUUUUUCCGCUUGCUUCUUGUGGUACUUGCUUUCACUAUGUCUGAAACUGGGGAGGUUAUCAUUGAUAAGGACAAUAGUAAUAACAUGGGAAACUUUGAUGCUUUUGAUGAUCCUACUGAAGAAACCACUAUCUUACAUACUAAAAGAUUUCGAAUCGGUAGUGGUAAUAUUAUUGGAAAAGGGGUUAUUCAAGAUUCUUUACUUGUGUUGGUGCUUUACCUUCUAUGGGUGGAUCUAUUCUUCAUAGAACUAGUAGUCUUGCGGAUGCUAUAUCCUUGCUUAUAGUUGAACUUGAAAGACAGUUUAUGCAUAUGCAUCCUUGCAUACAAAGGAUUUUUCUAGAAUUUUCCAAUAUUGAGCAUUCUUCUGUUAAGCGCGCAGCUACUAUCUUUUUGGCACAUGAGUUCAGAUUUAUAAUAAAAGAAGCCAGAGAAAUCUUUGCGCACUAUAGGGUGGACGCUGGUCGCCCUCCCAUUUAGGCGAUCCUUUUUAAUCAAGAAGACAUAAUGCGUUUACAAUCCUUAGAUCGUGUUGCUUUUAAUGAAAACCUUAGGAAAAAGGUUCCUACCGAUGUUCUAGUUGAUAGAAUCUCUGAACUUAAUGAUGAUUUUGCUAUUCAUAACAAUGGGUUGGGAUUUUCUCUUGAGCAAAGGCUCAUGACUUUUUGCCAAAAGAAUGCUUAUAAUGAUGAAUUGGUUGUGUAAUAUGAAGGGCCAAAGGAGGAACCCAUACCUCCCGAGCUUGAUCUUGGGGACUUUUGUCCCAUUAAAUUUAGCCCUUUUGAUUACUUUUGCUUGCCACAAAGAAAACUUGUUGUUGAACGUAGGGAAUAUGAGAUGAGUUUUCGUGAUUUACCUUAUCAUUACGGCAAUAAUUAGAUCUAUUCUCGCUUUUAUGCCUAGCUAGGGGCGUUAAACGAUAGCGCUUGUUGGGAGGCAACCCAAUUUUAUUUUUGUUCUUUACUUUUUGCUCCUGUUUAGUAUUAAAUAAUUCAUCUAGCCUCUGGUUAGAUGUGGUUUUAUGUUUUAGUUAGUGUUUGUGCCAAAUAGAACCUAUAGGAUCAUCUUGGGUGAUAGUUAAUUUGAUCUUGCUAAAAAACAGAAACUUUUGCGCACACGAGAAUAAUUUUAAUAAAUCACAGAAACAUGAUUUUGAGUUGAUUAUUUUUUAAGAAGAUUAAUAGACAAAUUUACUAGGACUUCCUAUUUUCGUAGGACUUUUAAGGUUCUAGAAGUAUUCGAAAGUUACAGAUUACUACAGACUGUUCUGUUUUUGACAGAUUCUGUUUUUUGUGUGUUGUUUGCUUAUUUUGAUGAAUCUAUGGCUAGUAUCGGGGGGUAUGAACCAUAGAUAAGUUGGAAUACUGCAGGUUUAACACCAAUAUAAAUAAAGAAUGAUUUCAUUACAGUACCUUAAAGUGGUGGUUUGCUUUUUUGCACUAACGGAGCUCAUGAGAUUUUUUGUUGAGUUUUGUGUUGUGAAGUUUUCAAGUUUUGGGUAAAGAUUUGAUGGAUUAUGGAAUAAGGAGUGGCAAGAGCCUAAGCUUGGGUAUGCUCAAGGCACCCCAAGAUAAAUUCAAGGACAACCAAAAGCCUAAGCUUGGGGAUGCCCCGGAAGGCAUCCCCUUGUCUUCAUCUAUCAGUAACUUUACUUGGAGCUAUAUUUUUAUUCACCACAUGAUAUGUGUUUUGCUUGGAGCGUCUUGAAUGAUAUGAGUCUUUGAUUUUUAGUUUACCACAAUCAUCCUUGCUGUACACACAUUUUGGGAGAGACACACAUGAAUCGGAAUUUAUUAGAAUACUCUAUGUGCUUCACUUAUAUCUUUUGAGCUAGAUAAUUUUGCUCUAGUGCUUCACUUAUAUCUUUUUAGAGCACGGCGGUGGUUUUAUUUUGUAGAAAUUAUUGAUCUCUCAUGCUUCACUUAUAUUAUUUUGAGAGUCUUUUAGAACAGCAUGGUAUUUGCUUUGGUUAUAAAAUUAGUCCUAAUAUGAUGGGCAUCCAAGUUGGGUAUAAUAAAAAUUGUCAUAGAAAGUGCAUGAAACACUAUAAGAAAUUUGAUACUUGAUAAUUGUUUUGAGAUAUAAAGGUGGUAAUGUUAGAGUCAUGCUAGUUGGGUAAUUAUGAAAUUGAGAAAUACUUGUGUUAAAGUUGGCAAGUCCCGUAGCAUGCACGUAUGGUAAACGUUGUGUGACAAAUGUGUUGCACGGGGUGUUCUUUUGAUUGCCUUCCUUAUGUGUGGAGGUCGGGAUCGCGCGAUGGUUAACUCCUACCAACCCUUCCCCUAGGAGCAUGCGUAGUAGUACUUUGCUUCGAGGGCUAAUAAACUUUUGCAAUAAGUAUAUGAGUUCUUUAUGACUAAUGUGAGCCCAUGGAUUAUACGCACUCUCACCCUUCCACCAUUGCUAGCCUCUCUUGUGCCGCGCAACUUUCGCCAGUAUCAUACACCCACCAUUUACCUUCCUCAAAACAGCCACCAUACCUACCUAUUAUGGAAUUUCUAUAGCCAUUCCAAGAUAUAUUGCCAUGCAACUCUCCACCGUUCCGUUUAUUAUGACACGCUCCAUCAUUGUCAUAUUGCUUUUGCAUGAUCAUGUAGUUGACAUCGUAUUUGUGGCAAAGCUACCGUUAUAAUUCUUUCAUACAUGUCACUCUUGAUUCAUUGCAUAUCCUGGUACACCGCUGGAGGCAUUCACAUAGAGUCAUAUUUUGUUCUAAGUAUUGACUUGUAAUUCUUGAGUUGUAAAUCAAUAAAAGUGUGAUGAUCUUCAUUAUUAGAGCAUUGUCCCAAGUGAGGAAAGGAUGAUGGAGACUAUGAUUCCCCCACAAGUCACUAUGAGACUCCGGACCUCAUGAUAAAUAAAAGAGGCCAAAGAAGCCCAAAUAAAAAAGAGAGGCCAAAGAAGCCCACCCAAAAAAAUGAGAGAAAAAGAGAGAAGGGACAUUGUUACUAUGCUUUUUCCAGACUUGUGCUUCAAAGUAGCACCAUGAUCCUCAUGGUAGAGUCUCCUAUGUUGUCACUUUCAUAUACUUGUGGGAAUUUUUCAUUAUAGAACUUGGCUUGUAUAUUACAAUGAUGGGCUUCCUCAAAAUGCCCUAGGUCUUUGUGAGUAAGCGAGUUGGAUGCACACCCACUUAGUUUCUUUUGUUGAGCUUUCACACAUUUAUAGCUCUAGUGCAUCUGUUGCAUGGCAAUCCCUACUCACUCACGUUGAUAUCUAUUAAUGGGCAUCUCCAUAGGCCGUUGAUACGCCUAGUCAAUGUGAGACUUUCUCCUUUUUUGUCUUCUCCACACAACCUCCAUCAUCAUAUUCUAUUCCACCCAUAGUGCUAUAUCCAUGGCUUACGCUCAUGUAUUGCGUGAGAGUUGAAAACGCUGAAGCGCGUUAAAAAGUAUGAACCAAUUGCUUGGCUGAAACCGGGGUUAUGCAUGAUGGGAGUAUUUUGUGUGACAAAAAUGAAGCAUAGCCUAACUAUAUGAUUUUGUAGGGAUAAGCUUUCUUUGGCUACAUUAUUUUGAUAAGACAUGAUUACUUGUUAGUAUGCUUAAAGUAUUACUAUUUUUAUGUUAAUAUGAACUUUUAUUUUGAAUCAUUUGGAUCUGAACAUUCAUGCCACAAUAAAGAAAAUUACAUUGAGAAAUAUGCUAGGUAGCAUUCCACAUCAAAAAUUCUGUUUUUAUCAUUUACCUACUCGAGGACGAGCAGGAAUUAAGCUUGGGGAUGCUUGAUACGUCUCCAAGGUAUCUAUAAUUUUUUAUUGUUCCAUGCUAUAUAUUACCCGUUUUGGAUAUUUAUGGGUUUUACUAUACACUUGUAUAUCAUUUUUUGGACUAACCUAUUAACCGGAGGCCCAGCCCAAAUUGUUGUUUUUGCCUAUUUCAGUGUUUCGCAGAAAAGGAAUAUCAAACGGAGUCCAAACGGAAUGAAACCUUCGGGAGAGUUAUUUUUAAAACAAACGCAAUCCAGGAGACUUGGAGUGGAUGUCAAGAAAAAAACAAGGCGGCCAUGAGGCAGGGAGGCGCGCCCUAGGGGGGUGGGCGCGCCCCCCACCCUCGUGGGCCCCUCGUGGCUCCUCUGACCGACUUUCUUCGCCUAUAUAUAUCUACAUACCCUGAAAACAUCCAGGAGCACCACGAAACCCUAUUUCCACAACCGCAACCUUCUGUACCCGUGAGAUCCCAUCUUGGAGCUUUUUCCGGCGCUCCGCCGGAGGGGGAAUCGAUCACGGGGGGCUUCUACAUCAACACCAUAGCCUCUCCGAUGAGUUGUGAGUAGUUUAUCACAGACCUUCGGGUCCAUAGUUAUUAGCUAGAUGGCUUCUUCUCUCUCUUGAAUCUCAAUACAAAGUUCUCCUCGAUCUUCUUGGAGAUCUAUUCGAUGUAAUUCUUUUUGCGAUGUGUUUGUGGAGAUCCAUGAAUUGUGGGUUUAUGAUCAAGUUUAUCCAUGAGAAAUAUUUGAAUCUCCUCUAAAUUCUUUUAUAUAUGAUUGGUUAUCUUUGCAAGUCUCUUCGAAUUAUCAGUUUGCUUUGGCCUACUAGAUUUAUCUUUUUUGCAAUGGGAGAAGUGCUUAGCUUUGGGUUCAAUCUUGCGGUGUCCUUUCCCAGUGACAGCAGGGGCAGCAAGGCACGUAUUGUAUUGUUGCCAUCGAGGAUAAAAAGAUGGGGUUUAUAUCAUAUUGCUUGAGUUUAUCCCUCUACAUUAUGUCAUCUUGCCUAAUGCGUUACUUUGUUCUUAUGAACUUAAUACUCUAGAUGCAUGCUGGAUAGCGGUCGAUAUGUGGAGUAAUAGUAGUAGAUGCAGGCAGCAAUCGGUCUACUUGUCGCGGACGUGAUGCCUAUAUACAUGAUCAUGCCUAGAUAUUCUCAUAACUAUGCACUUUUCUAUCAAUUGCUCGACAGUAAUUUGUUCACCACCGUAAUACGUAUGCUAUCUUGAGAGAAGCCACUAGUGAAACCUCUGGCCCACGGGUCUAUCUUUUAUCAUAUAAGCUUUCAAUCUACUUUUAUUUGCAUCUUUACUUUUCCAAUCUAUAUUAUAAAAAACCAAAAAUAUAUUUAUCUUAUCAUACUAUCUCUAUCAGAUCUCACUUUCGCAAGUGGCCGUGAAGGGAUUGACAACCCCUUUAGCGCAUUGGUUGCGAGGUUCUUGUUUGUUUGUGUAGGUACGAGGGACUUGCGCGUAGCCUCCUACUGGAUUAAUACCUUGGUUCUCAAAAGCUGAGGGAAAACUUACGCUACUUUGCUGCAUCACCCUUUCCUCUUCAAGGGAAAACCAACACAGGGCUCAAGUGGUAGCAAUGGGUUUUCCACUGAAUCUCACAUUCCAGGAUCCUAGCAUUUAUAGCAUGAAAUAUAAACUCUUAAUAAUGAACCUGGAAAUAUAAUAAUAUUAUAUUAUUGCCUCUAGGGCAUAUUUCCAAUAGUAUUCAACUUGCACUGAAGUCAAUAAUCUAGUUAGCACAUUUUUAUUUACACCAAUGGCAGUCUGGUGUUUGUCCAUACUCAGCUUGUGGUAUAGCCUUCAUCCCAUUGGAUCUUGAAAACUUCAUAUCCACGUGUAUCAUAUGCAUUUCAAUGCCUCUAUCAUGAUGGCUUUGUAUGUAUUGAAUCACUAGAAGGACCUAUGAUUCCUUGGACUGAGCUAUAGAACCACUAUUAAGUAUAGUGUUUCAUUGGCACAAUCAUCUAGAAAUCAUAACAAUCUCAUAAAUGAAAGUGUUAUUGAUCACUCUCCAUUGUUGCUUCUAAAGCAACAAUCUACUCAGCCCUCUGUUAUAGAUUUCACCACAGUAACCAACAACCCAACAAACACACUGCAAAAAACAUUACAUCGGAUAGAACUCCAAGAAGAUCGAGGAGAACAUUGUAUUGAAGAUCAAAGAGAGAAGAAGCCACUAGCUACUAGCUAUGGACUCGUAGGUCUGCGGUGAAUUGCUCACACAUCAUCGGAAGGCGGCACGGAUGAUGCAGAAGCCCUCAGUGAUCGAUUCCCCCUCCGGCGGAGUACCGGUAAAGCCCUCCAGAUGGAAUCGCGGAAGAAUAGAAGCUUGUGGUGGUGGAAAAAGUGUUUCGGAUGGCUCUCUGUUGGUUUGGGAAUAUUUGUGAAUUUAUAGGCUUGGAAUUAGGUCAAACGGAGUUGCGUGGGCCCAUAAGCUCAGGGGGCGCACUUUGUGAGCUCGUGGCUCUCUUGUAGCUCUUCUGGCCUCCUCCCGAACCUUCUAGGACCCCUUCUGGUCCAGAGAAAAUAACCAUAAUUCAUCGUAUUUGGACUUCGUUUGGUAUUGUUUUUCUGAAAAGCCAAAACAAGUAAAAAAUAGGAACUAGCACUGGGCAAUGGGUUAAUAGGUUAGUCCCAAAAGUGGUAUAAAAUAGCAUAAAAAUGCAUAUAAUCCAGGAUUGAUAAUAUAAUAGCAUGAAACAAUCAAAAGUUAUAGAUAUAUUGGAGACGUAUCAGCAUUCCCAAGCUUAAUUCCUGCUCGUCCUUGAGUAGGUAAAUGAGAAUAACAGAAUUUUUGUGUAUACAUGUAUUAUUUGUAGUGAGAUAUGUACAUGACAAAGAGCGAUACUACUGCCAGGAUCAGACCAAUGUACAUGACAUAAGAAAGAGGUGGCACAUCUCUGAAUGCAAGGUCCAUGGCAACAAGCAGACGCAAUGGAAAAGACAGAUUGUUUUGUCAUCUUUUGCAGCGCCAUCCUUUAGUAUGUCAGGGAGCAGCUAAGGAAUGAAAUCAUGCUCCAUUUUGGAUCAUAAGAUUUUAAUUUGACCAUAAGCUAAGCCUCCACCACACGAAAAGUGAUGAAAAUACAAAAUUUGUUAUGUGAUGCAAUACAAUGCAAAUCUUAUGUACUCCCUCUGUAAAGAAAUAUAAGAGCGUUUAGAUCAUUACUUUACACGUUACCAUCGUAAUCUCAAGCUUUGAAUUUAGUACUACUCAUUAAUCAAUUGUGUGAUCUUAAGAAAAUGCUAUACCUCUAAAAUGAACAACUAAAAGGUCAUGAGACACGUAGUGAUCUCCAAAUAAAUUGGUUGUUCUAGGGGAAAAGUGAUGAAAAGUGUUGUUCUAGGGGAAAAGUGAUGACAAGCAUGGAUUAUCUGUUUCGUCAUCUUGGGAGGGGGAGGGUCAUCCACAUGACCACAAGCCAAGCCCACACCCCACGUCAAGUGAUGCAAAUCCCAAUCAUGUCAUGUCAUGAUUUACAAUGCAAAUCUUCUUUAAAACUUUACACAUUGGCAUCACUAUCUUAAGCUUGGCAUUUGGUACUCCCUACGAUCCAUAUUUGUUGUCGCUCAAACGGAUGUAUCUAGCACUAAAAUACAUCUAGAUACAUCUGUUUCAGCGACAACUAAUAUGAAUCAAAGGGAAUACUACUAAUUAGUUGUGUGAUCUUAAUAAAACACCAUGCUUCUAAAAUGAACAGGUCACGAGGCGUGUACCAAUCUCCAGAUGAAUUUGAUGUUCUACAGAAUUCAUAUGUGCGGAAAGAUAAGACUGAAAACCGCACACUUACCCGGGAUAGGAUGGGAUAUUUUGAGAAAUAGAUAAGGAUUAGUUCAGGUUUCUCCCAUAUAUACGAAAUGACUGGACGAUGACUAAUUAAACGAGAGACAACAAACCACUUAUCUUCCUUUAUGACUCAAUUGAUCGAGAGCCUUCCCAAGUUGCUUUUGCGGUUUUGUUGGUCACAAUGCAGAUGCUUUGAACCUUUGCACAACCGUGGGCAUGUGGCUCCCGUUAAAUAGCCACAAGAUACCAUAAAAUUAGCACUUCCAAAGUUCCCAUUUACUCUCUCUUCCUCUCAAGUCUAACCAAAGCCCAACAAACCACCACCUCGGCCAUGGCAACCACCCUCGCCACCGACGUCCGCCUCUCCAUCGCGCACCAGACCCGCUUCGCCCUCCGUCUCGCCUCCACCAUCUCAUCCAACCCUAAGUCUGCUGCCAGCAAUGCCGCCUUCUCCCCGGUCUCCCUCUACUCCGCACUUAGCCUCCUCGCCGCUGGCGCGGGCAGUGCCACUCGGGACCAACUCGUCGCCACACUCGGGACAGGCAAGGUCGAGGGACUCCACGCGCUCGCCGAGCAGGUGGUCCAGUUUGUGCUCGCCGACGCGUCCUCCACUGGUGGUCCGCNNN